AAAAUCAGUAGUUGGUUCCCUUGUAGCCUAAAAAAAAAACAUGACUAAGUACAGUUUAGCACUGAAAAUUUAAAUUGAGAACAUGUUAUUUUGUUGAUAUUCUCGUUUCUUUUUCAUAGAGGAGCUUCAGAGAAAUUUGUUAUUACCAACUUAGAAAUAGAUAGCAGAGAUAAAUUAUCCUUCUCAUCUCCAGGUCAAUUUGUUUCUUAAAUCAAAAGCUUCUUCAGCAUUUGAUAAGGAUCCUUAUGUGGUGGUUUUAUUAAGAAAACAUAAUUCAUUUGCAGCUAAAACAUUUAUAUGCUGAGUGUAAAUUAGAAUCCCUCAUCAGGUACCUGUAGUAUUCAAGCAUUUAAACUUGACCUUUUUCAAUGAUGGAUGGUGUAGUUAUUUGCAAAAUUAUAUCUGUAUAUUUGAUUGUUUGUUUUUCAUUUCCAAUCAAUUACUUUCACAAUGAAGAAUUUUAGGUAAAUCUUUAGCUAUACAAGAUGUUUUAUCUAUGACUUCUUUUCAAAUGCAGACGGAUUAUAUAGCUGAAGAAGUUGAACGUCAGAAAUCUACUAGUGAUAUGGCAUGAUUAGCUUGGCAGGAAUUUGUGAAGGCAGUGAUAGUGUAUCAACAGAAAGUCAAUAGCUCAGCAUGUGCAGCAAAUAGACUAAAGCUGGAUCAAGAAAUGGAGAAGAAGAGGAAGAUAUUAUCCAAAGUUUCUCAAUUGCGAGAGACGUGUAUGCAUAUGGGCUUGAAAUGCUCCAAUCUAAGGAGUCAGAUCUCGAGGCAGAAGCUGAAUUCCGGGAGGUUGCAGUCGAACACGACAUUGAGCGUGCAACAAGAAAAUAGACUGAAGCAGAUGGAUGCGAUGGUGAGAAACGUUUGUUCGUAUUUAGAGGGAAAUGUUAGCAAAGACUGAGGUGGGAGAAAUCAGAAAAUGCCUAUAGGAUAGUUAUCUGAUCUGCUCUCAAGAUCUGCAGCACAAGGCAGCUCUCAAACUUGCGUAGAAAGCAACAGGAAGCAGAACUUGAUGCUUAGUGUUAUUUGUGUCUUUUUUGUUAGCUUAAAUAGACGGUUAAUUAUCUUGUUAGUAUUGUAUUUUUAUGCUUAGUGUUAUUUGU